GGAGGGUGCGAGCGUUGUCCGGAUUUAUUGGGUUUAAAGGGUGCGUAGGUGGCUUUUUAAGUCAGUGGUGAAAUACAGCCGCUCAACGGUUGAGGUGCCAUUGAUACUGAAGAGCUUGAAACAAGUGGAGGCUGCCGGAAUGGAUGGUGUAGCGGUGAAAUGCAUAGAUAUCAUCCAGAACACCGAUUGCGAAGGCAGGUGGCUACGUUUGAUUUGACACUGAGGCACGAAAGCAUGGGGAGCAAACAGGAUUAGAUACCCUGGUAGUCCAUGCCGUAAACGAUGAGGACUCGCUGUUGGCCUGUCAAGGGUCAGCGGYUUAGGGRAACCGUUAAGUCCUCCACCUGGGGAGUACGCCG
rnacentral:rRNA from 1 species